rnacentral:sRNA from 1 species
ACAGGAAUUAUUGCCAUCACACUGGCGUUUUACAUAUGUCACGAAGUUCACCUAGCUGGUUUUAAAUACAACUUUUCUGACCUCAAGAGUCCUUUGCACUACUAUGGGAAUGCCACCAUGUCUUUGAUGAAUAAGAACGCGUAUCACAAUGUGACUGCAGAGCAGCUCUUUUUGAAGGACAUUAUAGAAAAAAACCUCGUAAUCAACUUGACUCAAGAUUGACUCUACAGACUCAGAAGAUGAUGCUAACAGUGAAUUACAAGAGACUUUGCAGAAGGGUAAAAAUGGUGAGAACUGAAGAGUAAUGCCAUUGUUCUAACAGUGUCGAGGAGUUCACGGCCUGAGAAUGACUCUUUUUUCACUACUGCCCCCUGUAGGGGAGCGACAUCCCUCAGAUAGAAAUGAGAUGCAAAGACCACGUGAGUUACCUGCCCGGUCCCAGUAAGGAGAAAUCAACAUCUCAUGGCAGAAGUUUCAGUGUACACUCCUGCCUUUAGUCCAACAUACAAACCAUUACAAGAGGAUGCAAUUUAUCCCUGUUUUCUUUUUUAAAGUAUGAAAGAGAGAAUUCACAAACACUAAAUCUUUCUAAAGGUACAACAUGGUAAAGGAAUGAAAGGGUCUGCAUAAAAUAAUCUAGAAAAAAAAAAA